rnacentral:rRNA from 1 species
GACGAACGCUGGCGGCGUGGAUUAGGCAUGCAAGUCGAACGGUAGGAUACCUUCGGGUAUCUGAGAGUGGCGAACGGGUGAGUAACACGUAGGUGAUCUACCCUCAAGAUUGGGACAACCCAGGGAAACUUGGGCUAAUACCGGAUGAAAGCAGCAGUGAUGUUGUUUGAAAGGUGGCGUAAGCUGCCGUUUGGGGAUGAGCCUGCGCUCUAUUAGUUAGUUGGCGGGGUAAAGGCCCACCAAGGCGAUGAUAGAUAGGCGGCCUUAACGGGUGGUCGCCCACACUGGGAUUGAGAUACGGCCCAGACUCCUACGGGAGGCAGCAGUCGAGAAUAGUCUACAAUGGCCGAAAGGCUGAUAGUGCGACGCCGCGUGAACGAAGAAGCCCUCGGUGGUAAGUACUUUUAUUAUUGUAGCAGUGCUUCUUAUGUGUAACAGACAAUGGGGUAGGAGAGGAGAUUAAGUCAUAUGUAAGUAAAGUACAAACGGCUAAACGUCCCGUUCGGUCCACGACGAC